rnacentral:rRNA from 1 species
AGAGUUUGAUCCUGGCUCAGGACGAACGCUGGCGGUGUGCUUCACACAUGCAAGUCGAACGAGGUAGCAAUACCUAGUGGCGGACGGGUGAGUAACGCGUGGGAAUCUGCCUUUGAAUGGGGGAUAACGGGGCGAAAGUUCCGCUAAUACCGCAUAGGCCGAAAGGUUAAAGGAGUAAUCCGUUCAAAGAUGAGCCCGCG